GUGCCAGCAGCCGCGGUAAUACGUAGGGUGCAGGCGUUAAUCGGAAUUACUGGGCGUAAAGCGUGCGCAGGCGGUCUCUUAAGACAGGUGUGAAAUCCCCGGGCUUAACCUGGGAACUGCGCUUGUAACUGAGAGGCUUGAGUGUGCCAGAGGGGGGUGGAAUUCCACGUGUAGCAGUGAAAUGCGUAGAGAUGUGGAGGAACACCGAUGGCGAAGGCAGCCCCCUGGGGUAACACUGACGCUCAUGCACGAAAGCGUGGGGAGCAAACAGGAUUAGAUACCCUGGUAGUCC
rnacentral:rRNA from 1 species